rnacentral:rRNA from 1 species
AGGAUGAACGCUAGCGGCAGGCUUAACACAUGCAAGUCGAGGGGUAGAGGAAGCUUGCUUCCUUGAGACCGGCGCACGGGUGCGUAACGCGUAUGCAAUCUACCUUAUACAGGGGGAUAGCCCAGAGAAAUUUGGUAUUAAUACCCCAUAGUAUAAUUGAAUGGCAUCAUUUAAUUAUUAAAGUUCCAACGGUAUAAGAUGAGCAUGCGUCCCAUUAGCUAGUUGGUGUGGUAACGGCACACCAAGGCGACGAUGGGUAGGGGUCCUGAGAGGAGAUCCCCCACACUGGUACUGAGACACGGACCAGACUCCUACGGGAGGCAGCAGUGAGGAAUAUUGGUCAAUGGGCGCAAGCCUGAACCAGCCAUGCCGCGUGCAGGAUGACGGUCCUAUGGAUUGUAAACUGCUUUUGUACAGGAAGAAACACUCCCUCGUGAGGGAGCUUGACGGUACUGUAAGAAUAAGGAUCGGCUAACUCCGUG